UGAAUUUAAGCAUAUCAGUAAGCGGAGGAAAAGAAACUAACUAGGAUUCCCUUAGUAACGGCGAGUGAAGCGGGAAGAGCCCAGCACCGAAUCUCCCGGUUAAGCGGCCGGCGAGAAAUGUGGUGUAUAGGUGGCCGAUUGUCGGCGAGGCGAGUGCUCAAGUCCUCCUGAUCGUGGCCUUGCCCAGAGCGGGUGUCAGGCCCUUGGUGGCGCUUGCUGCCUCGCCGGCUUCGAGCCUCCUUGGAGUCGGGUUGUUUGGGAAUGCAGCCCAAAGCGGGAGGUAAACUCCUCCUAAGGCUAAAUACUGGCACGAGUCCGAUAGCGGACAAGUACCGUGAGGGAAAGUUGAAAAGCACUUUGAAGAGAGAGUUCAAGAGUACGUGAAACCGCAUAGAGUCAAACGGGUGGAUCCGCUUGGUCGUCUCCCGGAAUUCAGCCUGCAAGCCGGUGGCCGCCUGUGCCUGGCGAUCUGUAACAGGACGCCGAGCGCGGGCGAGCUCGCCGGUGUGCGGGUGCACUUUCUGAGAGACGAAUGCCACGACCGGUUCUGGCGCGGUCAUAAGCCCCGCAGCAAGGUAGCGUUCCCCUUCGGGGGCCCGUGUUAAGGCUGCGGAGGUGGGCUCGCGCCGGGACCGAGGACGAUGCCGCCGUCUCCGGCCUCUGGUCGUGCUAGGGUGUUCGACUGUGGAAGCGCGGCUUCGGCCGUGCUCUGCGACCGCUCCUUGGCAAGGACUAGUACGCCGCGACGGCACUAUGGUCUGUGGCGUCUCGGUCGGUCCUCCACCCGACCCGUCUUGAAACACGGACCAAGGAGUCCAGCAUGUGCGCGAGUCAUGGGGCUCUACGAAACCCAAAGGCGCAAUGAAAGUAAAGACGAUCUCCGAUCGUCCAGGCAGGAUCUCGGCUACUCGCUAGCCGAGCGCACUGCCGGCCCGUCUCUGCCGCAUUGACGGCGAGGCGGAGCAAGAGCGUACACGCUGGGACCCGAAAGAUGGUGAACUAUGUCUGAGCAGGACGAAGUCAGAGGAAACUCUGAUGGAGGUCCGCAGCGAUUCUGACGUGCAAAUCGAUCGUCAGACUUGGAUAUAGGGGCGAAAGACUAAUCGAACCAUCUAGUAGCUGGUUCCCUCCGAAGUUUCCCUCAGGAUAGCUGGCACUUAUAUCAAGCAGUUUUAUCCGGUAAAGCGAAUGAUUAGAGGCCUUGGGGGCUAAACGCCCUCAACCUAUUCUCAAACUUUAAAUGGGUAAGAAGCGUGACUCGCUUAAUUGGAGCCUCGCCUCGAAUGCAAGUGCCAAGUGGGCCACUUUUGGUAAGCAGAACUGGCGCUGUGGGAUGAACCAAACGCCCGGUUAAGGCGCCCGAUACUGACGCUCAUCUAGUAUA
rnacentral:rRNA from 1 species